GACAGAGGGGGUGAGCGUUGCCCGGAUUUACUGGGCUUAAAGGGUCCGUAGGCGGUGUCCUCAGUCCCCCGUGAAAGCUGCCCGCUCAACGGGCAGAGGUCGGGGGAGACUGGGACACUUGAGGGCGGGAGAGGCCGGCGGAACGGCGGGUGUAGCGGUGAAAUGCGUCGAUAUCCGCCGGAACACCAGUGGCGAAGGCGGCCGGCUGGAACGCCCCUGACGCUGAGGGACGAAGGCCGGGGGAGCGAACCGG
rnacentral:rRNA from 1 species